rnacentral:rRNA from 1 species
AUUGAACGCUGGCGGCAGGCUUAGCACAUGCAAGUCGAGCGGAGAUGAGGUGCUUGCACCUUAUCUUAGCGGCGGACGGGUGAGUAAUGCUUAGGAAUCUGCCUAUUAGUGGGGGACAACAUUCCGAAAGGAAUGCUAAUACCGCAUACGUCCUACGGGAGAAAGCAGGGGAUCUUCGGACCUUGCGCUAAUAGAUGAGCCUAAGUCGGAUUAGCUAAUUGGUGGGGUAAAGGCCUACCAAGGCGACGAUCUGUAGCGGGUCUGAGAGGAUGAUCCGCCACACUGGGACGGAGACACGGCCCAGACUCCUACGGGAGGCAGCAGUGGGGAAUAUUGGACAAUGGGGGGAACCCUGAUUCAGCCAUGCCGCGUGUGUGAAGAAGGCCUUAUGGCUGUAAAGCACUUUAAGCGAGGAGGAGGCUACUGAGACUAAUACUCUUGGAUAGUGGACGUUACUCGCAGAAUAAGCACCGGCUACUCUGUGCCAGCAGCCGCCGUAAAAC